CCUACGGGAGGCAGCAGUGAGGAAUAUUGGUCAAUGGCCGAGAGGCUGAACCAGCCAAGUCGCGUGAGGGAAGACGGCCCUACGGGUUGUAAACCUCUUUUGUAGGGGAGUAAAGAGAGUCACGUGUGACUCAUUGUGAGUACCCGAAGAAAAAGCAUCGGCUAACUCCGUGCCAGCAGCCGCGGUAAUACGGAGGAUGCGAGCGUUAUCCGGAUUUAUUGGGUUUAAAGGGUGCGUAGGCGGCAGUGCAAGUCAGCGGGAAAAUUCUGGGGCUCAACCCCGUACUGCCGUUGAAACUGCGGCCCUUGAGUGUGCGAGAGGUAUGCGGAAUGCGUGGUGUAGCGGUGAAAUGCAUAGAUAUCACGCAGAACUCCGAUUGCGAAGGCAGCAUACCGGCGCACAACUGACGCUCAUGCACGAAAGCGUGGGUAUCGAACAGGAUUAGAUACCCCAGUAGUC
rnacentral:rRNA from 1 species